rnacentral:rRNA from 1 species
AGAGUUUGAUCAUGGCUCAGAACGAACGCUGGCGGCGCGUCUUAAACAUGCAAGUCGAACGAUCUGUAGCAAUACAGGGAGUGGCGGACAGGUGAGGAACACGUAGGAAUCUACCUUGAAGAGCGGGACAACUUUGGAAACCGGGGCUAAUACCGCAUAGUACAGAGAUGUUAAAGGGCUAGCAAUAGUCGCUUCGAGAUGAGCCUGCGGUCUAUCAGCUUGUUGGUGAGGUAAUGGCUCACCAAGGCUACGACGGAUAGCCGGUCUGAGAGGAUGAUCGGCCACACUGGCACUGAGACACGGGCCAGACUCCUACGGGAGGCAGCAGUUAAGAAUCUUGCGCAAUGGGGGAAACCCUGACGCAGCGACGCCGCGUGAAGGAUGAAGGCUUUCGGGUCGUAAACUUCGGUAGACUGGGAAGAAGAACUACGUUCGUUGAGGGCGUAGAGUGACGGUACCAGUCUGAAGCCCCGGCUAAUUACGUG